GAGUAAGAACACUUUUAAGGCUCUUCAUACAUAAUUCAAAAUUGCUUUCCAAACAGGUUGAACAAUCUGUGCUCCAGCACCACAGUGUAGGCAUGCCAUUUGCUAGUGGAGUGUUUUUCUUAUUAAUUUAUAGGAGCUCUUCUAUAUAUUUAGGAGUUCAACACUUUGCUUGCCAUAUUUAUGCUAAUAUUUUUUCAAAUUUUUUCUCUUUGCAUCAUUUUUACUCGAGGAGAUUUUUAUUUUAUGUAUUCAUACCUUCAUUGAUGGUUCCUUCCAUUAAUUUUAUGCCAACAAUUUCUUCCCAGAACUGAGAUCCAUUAAAUAUUGUCCUCUAAUAUAUAUUGUUUUACAUUUAUCUUAAAUUCACAGGCAAACUACCUUGGUAUAAAUUAGGGAAAAUCUAACCUGAUUCUUUUCCAGUGUCAUUCAGAAAAUAAUUCCCUUUUGCGGACUCCAAAGCAGAAUGUGACAUAAUCAGAUGUGUUUUUAAAUAGCUUGCUGGCUCCAGUGUGGUAGGAAAAAAAACAGCAAUCAUAAAAAACAACCAACAUUUAUUUAGUACUUACUGUGCACAGGCUGUGUUCUGAGUCCUUUGCAGACAUUCACUCAUUCAACCCUCAUAAUCACCCCAUAGGAAACAAAGGCUUACACUGGGGUUUAAGUAACUUGCCCAAGGUCAGAGCUAGAAGCGGCUGAACCAGGGAUGGGAUGGAACCAGGAAGGGGCCAUCAGAGUUAAGCAGAUAAGUCAACGCACCAGUCCAGAUGAGGUAGAGGGACUGGCCUAGACCAUGGCAGGGAAAGGAGAGGAGAUGGCAUACUGGUCAUGUAUUGAAGAUAUGAGUCUGGGAUUUGGUAGUCAACCACCCAUUGCGGGCCACGAGGACAAGGGAGAGCUCUAGAGCCCCAUCUCAGCAUGCAGCUGUUAAGUCCCUCAAAGACUUGCACUUUCCGUAAAACCAUCGCCUUCCUCUCCCUCACUGUUCCCAGCAUCCCCGGACUGCACAGGGUAGAAAAGCAGCAAGUUUGGACCACAAUCCCAAAUACCGAAAUCCCAAAAGAUCAAAAUCGCUAAAACCUCCAACAUCUAACAUCCCAAAAGUGGCAAUUACAGGACAAGUUUUUUGUUUGUGUUUCUUUUCUUUUUAAAGUUUUUUUUUUUCACUAUUUUAAAUUGUCAGCAUUUUCGUUCACAGUUCUGUACGCUGUGUAUUUCAUCUUUGCAUCAUUUCCAAUACUGGAGGUAUAAAUUCUAUAGGGACUUUUAUUUUAUUUUUAUUUAUUUAUUUAUUUUUGAGACAGGGUCUCUCUCUGUCAUUCAGGCUGGAGGGCAGUGGCACGGCCACUGCUCACUGCAGCCUCCACUGCCCGGGCUCAAUUGAGCCUCCCAAGGAGCCGAGACUACAGGCACACAUCACCACGCCCGGCUAAUUUUUGUAUUUUUUGUAGAGACAGGGUUUCGCCAUGUCACCCAGGCUUGUAGAGAUUUUUAGAGUUCUAAUUCUUUAUGCAUUUUUUGCAAAUCUGACUUCAUAAAAGUGAACUAUCACAAUGCUGCUUUGCAAGCUGUGUGUGUGUGUAAAAGCGUUGAAACUUCCUCAAUAAAUGAAAAGAUAUCUUUUUUGUACAUCUGCAUUUGUGAAAGACAACAUUUCUCCAGAUCUCUCUCAGCUCUUUGGGUGACUGCAUAUGUAUGUGGCGGGGACCCAUCGAGGUUGCU
rnacentral:lncRNA from 1 species